AUGCCGCGUGCAGGAAGACGGCCUUCUGGGUUGUAAACUGCUUUUGCCAGGGGAUAAAAAGUCCCUGCGGGGAAAAUUGAAGGUACCUGGUGAAUAAGCCACGGCUAACUACGUGCCAGCAGCCGCGGUAAUACGUAGGUGGCAAGCGUUGUCCGGAUUUAUUGGGUUUAAAGGGUGCGUAGGUUGUGUUGUAAGUCAGUGGUGAAAUCCGGCAGCUUAACUGUCGAUGUGCCAUUGAUACUGCAGCACUUGAGUACAGACGAGGUAGGCGGAAUUGACGGUGUAGCGGUGAAAUGCUUAGAUAUCGUCAAGAACACCGAUAGCGAAGGCAGCUUACUAGACUGUAACUGACACUGAUGCACGAAAGUGUGGGGAUCAAACAGGAUUAGAUACCCUGGUAGUCCACACUGUAAACGAUGAUUACUCGAUGUUGGCGAUACACAGCCAGCGUCUUAGCGAAAGCGAUAAGUAAUCCACCUGGGGAGUACGCCCGCAAGGGUGAAACUCAAAGGAAUUGACGGGGG
rnacentral:rRNA from 1 species